UGGGAGGCAGCAGUGGGGAAUCUUGCGCAAUGGGCGAAAGCCUGANGCAGCAACGCCGCGUGCGGGAUGAAGGCCUUCGGGCUGUAAACCGCUUUCAGCAGGAACGAAAAUGACGGUACCUGCAGAAGAAGGAGCGGCCAACUACGUGCCAGCAGCCGCGGUGACACGUAGGCUCCAAGCGUUGUCCGGAUUUAUUGGGCGUAAAGAGCUCGUAGGCGGUUGAGUAAGUCGGGUGUGAAAACUCUGGGCUUAACCCGGAGACGCCAUCCGAUACUGCUCUGACUAGAGUUCAGGAGGGGAGUGGGGAAUUCCUAGUGUAGCGGUGAAAUGCGCAGAUAUUAGGAGGAACACCGGUGGCGAAGGCGCCACUCUGGACUGAAACUGACGCUGAGGAGCGAAAGCAUGGGUAGCAAA
rnacentral:rRNA from 1 species